rnacentral:rRNA from 1 species
AUACGGAGGGUGCAAGCGUUAAUCGGAAUUAUUGGGCGUAAAGGGCGCGUAGGCGGUCUUGUCGGUCAGAUGUGAAAGCCCAGGGCUCAACCCUGGACGUGCAUUUGAAACAGCAAGACUUGAGUACGGGAGAGGAAAGCGGAAUUCCUGGUGUAGAGGUGAAAUUCGUAGAUAUCAGGAGGAACACCGAUGGCGAAGGCAGCUUUCUGGACCGAUACUGACGCUGAGGCGCGAAGGCGUGGGUAGCGAACAGGAUUAGAAACCCGGGUAGUCC